UACGUAGGAUGCAAGCGUUGUCCGGAAUUAUUGGGCGUAAAGAGCGCGCAGGCGGUAACUCAAGUCAGAUGUGAAAUAUCCGGGCUUAACCCGGAGGGGUCAUUUGAAACUGAGUAACUAGAGUACAGCAGAGGAUAGCGGAAUUCCCGGUGUAGUGGUGAAAUGCGUAGAUAUCGGGAGGAACACCAGUGGCGAAGGCGGCUAUCUGGGCUGAAACUGACGCUCAGGCACGAAAGCGUGGGGAGCAAACAGG
rnacentral:rRNA from 1 species